rnacentral:rRNA from 1 species
GAUUUCUGGGCAUCAGUUUCUGGCCGGCCACGGUUUCGUGUGUUAGUGCUUGAAGCUUUGUCCAUCCUUCCAAUUGCUAUUCAUCUUUCUUCAUUGAUGGGUGAGUGGUAUUGGAUCUUUUACUUUGAAAAAAUUAGAGUGUUUCAAGCAGGCUUAAUGCUAUGAAUACAUUAGCAUGGAAUAAUAAUUUAGGACUUCGGUUCUAUUUUGUUGGUUUCUAGGACUGAAGUAAUGAUUGAUAGGGAUAGUUGGGGGUGCUAGUAUUCAGCGGCCAGAGGUGAAAUUCUCGGAUUCGCUGAAGACUAACUUAUGCGAAAGCAUU